GGAAGCAUCACAAAGCCAGGUUUAAUGAGGUAGCAGGACUUGCUCAUAGGAGCUUAGCAAGGGAAAGGGAGCUCAAGUAGACAUUGCCCAGGACUGUGCCUGCAAGCUUUGCCUUUUGCUGAUCUUCAUUCCCUGAUUUGUCGAAGUGUGUGACCCCACUGUGUCUACCAGGAAAGGAAUUUGGCAUGUGCUCUCAAAACAAACUAAGGGAUUUUAUACAUCCUGCACCAGUCUUUCCACCAGGCUCAGUUGUUCGCCUUGGAAAGGACGUCUCUGGUUUGUAUCCUGGGCAAGUAGCACGGGUCCACAAGACGUACACAUCCAGAGGAACUCCAGGACCUUUCAGUAAACUGGAACCAGCUCCAGUAAACUAUGAAGCUGAAACUCCAUUCCAGCCUGACUUUGACAAUUCAGCUCUCAGAACAUAUGUGCAUUUCCAAAAAGUAAUGAAAAAGUCCACCUGCAAUUGGUACAAUCAAACUUCAUACAAAGCAGCAUUUGACUUGCCAUACCUGAACACAAGUCACGAGAGUAAAUAUACACCAACAGAUCCUGAACCAUGUAUUACCUGGACAUGUACUGGUUGCAGGAUGCUUUCAACUUUCCAGGCCUGAACUUGAGUGAAAAAAUCAAAGAAAAAUCUCAGUUGAACUUAAAAGAACAGAAGUAAAUCACCCUUGCAUCCACAACAAUUCUGGUUUGUUUCUUUAAUGGCACAAAUACUUUCUAUCAUUUUAGGCUACAGCUAUAUUACUUAGAAAUCCUGCUGCAUCUGGGA